rnacentral:lncRNA from 1 species
CUGGGGUCAGGGGUGAAAGAAGGAGACAGGUUCUGUUCUUGCGACUCUUGACCCACAGCCUUAUCUCCUUAACCAGAUUCUUCUGUUUGGUGUGUGUUCCUUCUCAAGCAAACAGAAUCCUGAUAAAGUGAUGGACUCCACAACCUUAAAAACUUGAAAAAAGAAAAGUUUGGAAAGAAGACUCUACCAUACUGUUCUGAAGGAUUCACAUGGGUGCUCAAUUCUCUACCAAGUUGUUGUGGCUGGACUUCAAAGUGACCCCUCAGCCUUCACCUGCCCGUUGACCUAUGGCUCGGAGUCAUUGUUCCUACUCACUGCCCUGAGGUUUUAAAAAGACUGUGCAGACAAAGCUCUGGACACAUGAUGGGCUGUUUAAGAGGACACGCUCCCUCUAAGUUGGAGGUGUGCAUUUGACCCUUUUUAAAGGGUCCAGAGUCACUAGGAUGCUUCCAUGCUCUGGGUUGAAUUCUGCUUCACCUACGAAUCCUGCUUUUCUUUUGAGAAAAAAAAAAUGGCACGAAGUGGAAAAGGGGUUCUAUUGGUUAACCUGACAUGGGAUGACUUCAGGCACUGGGGUCCCCCAGGACUGCUUUGGUGCCAAGUCUGUGUAGCCUGCAGCAGGUGGAAGAAGGCCUCCCUGGUCUGGGAUUUAUGGUGUAUCAAGGGUCUUAGAACAGCUGCGCUUGGCUCCCAUUAUGAACUUGUCCAACAGGUAUGCUUUUAUUCUUGAGAAACACAAGCGUUGAAAGAUACAGAAGCAAAAAGAGAAUAAUUUAACAACCAUCUGCAUACUUGCCAUGUAUAAUGAACAGGUAUUAAUGUUUAUUGAUAUUUGCUUCAUACAUUGCUGUUAAUACAAUAAUAUCACUGUCAAGUUGGAGCUGCCUCUUAGUCCUAUUCCAGAUCACCCCCUCCUGCCCAAGAGACAACUCUUUGGAUGAAUUUCAUGUAUAACAUACUGGUCAAAUGUGUGUACUUUGAAUUGAAUCCAUAAACCAUAUGCUGAAGUUUUGAAGAUUUUAUACAAAUAUUAUCAUACACUAUUCAUCUUUCUGUAAUUAGCUUCAAUUUCAUUCAACACGAAGUUUCGUUUUAAAGGUCUGUGUUGAUGCCUUUAAAUCUAGUGCAUUUGUUUAAAUUGCUGAAUUGUAGUCCACUGAUGGAUGCUUAAGUUGGGUUUUUAGAUUUUAUCUACAACAUCUGUUUUGCAAGGAUCCAGGCAUCACAUCCUUUACAGAAGGCUGUGCAGAUUCAGAUUUAGGGAUAGAUAAACCAACAGGUGUUUCUGAGACAUCCAUGAGUCUCUCUGGAUGAAGGCUAUUUAUUUAUGUAUUUAUCCUUUCUAAGUUCAAUUUACCAUUCCAGACACUUUUUAUCCCCCUAGGAUGAAUCCUUAUUUUACUCAUAGUGUUGUAUUUUGACUUUGAUAAGACCUUGGAACACUCCCUUAAUAUUUUCAUAUAUGUCUGAACCCCAGGGAAUAAUAUAGAUGCAGAUUUCCAUGGUCUGUCCCUUCAAUUAACAAAACAUGUUCGCAAAUGCCAAAAAUGAGCAGCAGAGUUGAGCAGAAUAUCCAAGUUCACUAAUAAACCUUCAGAACUGCUACUCUUCUUCA